rnacentral:piRNA from 1 species
UGAAAAGGGAUCUGCUAAGG